rnacentral:rRNA from 1 species
UACGUAGGGUGCAAGCGUUAAUCGGAAUUACUGGGCGUAAAGCGUGCGCAGGCGGUGAUGUAAGACAGGUGUGAAAUCCCCGGGCUUAACCUGGGAACUGCAUUUGUGACUGCAUCGCUGGAGUGCGGCAGAGGGGGAUGGAAUUCCGCGUGUAGCAGUGAAAUGCGUAGAUAUCUGGAGGAAUACCGGUGGCGAAGGCGGCAUCCUGGACCGGCAUUGACGCUGAGGAGCGAAAGCUAGGGGAGCAAACGGG